CAGGGCAGCCUCGCUCCUCUGCAUCCCGCGACCAGAAGGGUCACCCAUGUGCAAGUAGCUGAAGGGGUGACCCUGCUGGAGAAGAUAAAGGGCAAGAUGGCGGCAGGGAAGAGAAGAGAGGUGCAGCUUUUCGCCAAUGCUCGAGUUCGUGGUCGCUGCAGUGGGACAUUCCCCUCAGUGUCAACGCCUCCUAAAGGACAUAGCCACGGUUACUGUGUCACCCAAUGAAGAGCGAGAGAGAUUUUACUGCAGCUUGGAGAAAAAAGGCCUCACAGUCUCACAC